CUCAGUUCAGAUUGUAGGCUGAAACUCGCCUAUAUGAAGUCGGAAUUGCUAGUAAUCGCGGAUCAGCAUGCCGCGGUAAAUACGUUCCCGGGUCUUGUACACACCGCCCGUCACACCAUGGGAGUCGGAAAUGCCCGAAGCCGGUGACUCAACCUGCAAAGGAGAGAGCCGUCGAAGGCAGGUCUGAUAACUGGGGUGAAGUCGUAACAAGGUAAC
rnacentral:rRNA from 1 species